rnacentral:rRNA from 1 species
CCUUAAGAGAGGUAGAAAUAGGGGUUCGGGCUAGGUGGAGAUAGCGGCGUGGUCCGGUGUGUGGGUGGUGUGAGGUAGCGGGGCACGGCGGUAGGUGGACCGGUGGCGGCGGGGGCGCGGCGGUAGGUGGACCGGCGGCGGCGGGGGCACGGCGGUAGGUGGACCGGCGGCGGCGGGGGUGCAGCUGCAGGUUGGCGCGACGGCGACCUCAGGCCUGGUGGUUGAUGCGGCGGCGGCCUCAGGGCUGGAAGUUCGCGCGGCGGCGGCUCGGGUCUGGUGGUUACCGCCGCGGCGGCCUCUGGGUUGGAGGUUGGAGUUGCGGUGGUCCGGGGCUAUUGUUUUCGCACGGUAGUGGUGGGGGUGCUGGGCGCAGCGGCCGCGGGGAGGAGGCGCCGGCCGCGAGAGGGUUGGGCACCAGCUGUGGGUAGGAGAAAACGCCGGUCGCGGGAGGGAGGGGCGCCGGCCGCGCGAGGAAGGGGCGCCGACUGCCCGGAGGUCGAGACACCGGCCGCGUCAGGGAGGAGCGACGUCGAACGGGGAGGAGGUACCUACCGGACGUGGCCGACGGCCUUGAACAACUCCACCAUGGGAAUUGGGAGCUGGAAGUUAAUGUCCAGUGGUUGCUGCGAUGUUUCUCUUUCCCGGGACGCUUCAAGUCAAAAAAAUAAAAGACUUCAAAUCAAACAACUAAAAGACUUCUUUAUCCAAGGAAGUGAACGUGAGGAGAUUGAUCAGGACACACCACUAGAGGAGCUGAGGAUCCAAGCCGUGUUUGACUCUUAACAUUCGUAGAAGACUCAAAUGUUACGAACUUUAACGUCAUGCACUAAUAUAUUGUAAAAUCCACCUUAACCAGUUACAACAAGGGACAUCAACAUAUCACAGGUCUAGUUAGCAGCUAAGGAUAAGAGAUUCACUAAAACUACAGACUUCAAGUUGACAUAUACGUCCUCGUUUUUUGACAACAAAAACCAAGUAAUCAAAGUCAAAGUGUCCAACCAAAAGAAGAGUAAAAUAGAGGUUUUUAAUUAGUUGCUCCUAGCUGCCGUCAGGUCCUAGACGCUUCUGCUCCCUACGACAAAAACCAAACGAAAACACUUAGUCGUAGUGGCGUAAUGUGUGGUGUGGCGGGUGGUCGUCAUGCACAGAGAGUGGUAGCAGGAAGAGAGAAAGAGGAAAGAGAGAGUGAGAGAGUGCGUCCUGUGCCGCGACGGUACCGCCGGGGCUCCUGCUACUCUCGGUACGUCAUACUGUUCAUGCCGCUACCUCGACUUCCGGAGUUCCAUGUACGAGCAGCGGUAUUGCUCGACAGAGGUUUGUCUGAACUGUACGCAGCACAUUCCAAGUUACUGGCUUUCCACUCCAAGUCUGCGACGGCGUUAGGCACGCUGCAUACCGAGCCUCUUGAAGAACGUAAGGAUGAUCUCACUUUGGCAACCACGAGUCCUAGUCUGAAGCCACCAAGUUGGUACGUAUGUUGCUCUACUUUUCCAACGAUACUAUAAUGAUAUACGUAGUCGCAGUGGACGGUCUUCACUAGACGUUUGAGAACUCUGAACCGGUGUGUACCGACCUACCGUAGGAACGUUCGAGACAUCCGACACUGCUAGGACCGUCGAUGGCCGAAUCACGACAAGAAGUCACUCAACUUUACUUUAAACCGUUGUCCGUUGUUAAAGAAGUACUUCGUUCUCUACCGCACAGUCUCACAAAGUGUUUUUCCGCUCCUGCUCACAACCAACUCUUGUAAUCGGAUGUAAAAAACAACGGACGUUCACAC